rnacentral:rRNA from 1 species
GACGAACGCUGGCGGCGUGCUUAACACAUGCAAGUCGAACGGAAGUAGCAAUACUUCAGUGGCGCACGGGUGAGGAACACGUAGCUCAUCUGCCCUCAAGUGUGGGAUAACGCUCCGAAAGGAGUGCUAAUACCGCAUAAGCUCCCGGAUUGCAGAGGUCUGGGAGAAAAGGAGUAAUUCGCUUGAGGAGGAGGCUGCGGCCCAUCAGGUAGUUGGUGCGGUAACGGCGCACCAAGCCGACGACGGGUAGGGGACCUGAGAGGGUCGACCCCNCCCACGACGUGGGAC